UGGCACCUCGGCCCACAGCCUAUUGUCACAUAUCAAAGAUAUGUGUCGUAAUAUAUCAGCAGUAACCAUAGAGUCCAACACCAGCAGUCACUUGUGGAUGCAACAAGAUUUAACAACUGAGGCAAAUUCCUUUUAUGUAUACAUACUUGGCUAAUAACAUUUAUUCAAUUCAAU